rnacentral:rRNA from 1 species
AGUGAACGCUGGCGGUAGGCCUAACACAUGCAAGUCGAACGGCAGCACAGUAAGAGCUUGCUCUUACGGGUGGCGAGUGGCGGACGGGUGAGGAAUACAUCGGAAUCUACUUUUUCGUGGGGGAUAACGUAGGGAAACUUACGCUAAUACCGCAUACGACCUACGGGUGAAAGCAGGGGAUCUUCGGACCUUGCGCGAUUGAAUGAGCCGAUGUCGGAUUAGCUAGUUGGCGGGGUAAAGGCCCACCAAGGCGACGAUCCGUAGCGGGCCUGAGAGGAUGAUCGGCCACACUGGAACUGAGACACGGUCCAGACUCCUACGGGAGGCAGCAGUGGGGAAUCUUGCACAAUGGGCGCAAGCCUGACCCAGCCAUACCGCGUGAGUGAAGAAGGCCUUCGGGUUGUAAAGCCCUUUUGUUGGGAAAGAAAAGCAGCAUGUUAAUCCCUCGCCGUUCUGACGGUACCCAAAGAAUAAGCCCCGGCUAACUUCGUG